GAGCCUCUUUAAAAUCCAGUUUCUUUCGGAAUCACGUAGUCCUUGUGUACUUCAAUUAGAGGGGUAUAUAAGUAACCAUCAUUUUCUUCCUCCCCAGGACCAGGUCCUUUCAGAGCGGUAUACGUCGACUCUUCUUUUUCCACUUUUUCAUAAUUCCCAUCAUCAUUCUCAGGAUUUUCAUCAAUUUCUUCUGAAUUAUUUCUGUCUUUGCUCUUGUUGUCUGGGUUUGCCUUUGAUGAUUUGAGUCGACGAUUUUGAUAAAUGAAAUAAGCAAUUAUAACAAAUGAAAUGACCAGCAGAAUUGCUAACACAAUAAUUCCAGCAAGAUAGUUUUCA